rnacentral:rRNA from 1 species
AACGAACGCUGGCGGCAGGCUUAACACAUGCAAGUCGAGCGCCCCGCAAGGGGAGCGGCAGACGGGUGAGUAACGCGUGGGAAUCUACCCAUCCCUACGGAAUAGCUCCGGGAAACUGGAAUUAAUACCGUAUACGCCCUACGGGGGAAAGAUUUAUCGGGGAUGGAUGAGCCCGCGUUGGAUUAGCUAGUUGGUGGGGUAAAGGCCUACCAAGGCGACGAUCCAUAGCUGGUCUGAGAGGAUGAUCAGCCACAUUGGGACUGAGACACGGCCCAAACUCCUACGGGAGGCAGCAGUGGGGAAUAUUGGACAAUGGGCGCAAGCUUGAUCCAGCCAUGCCGCGUGAGUGAUGAAGGCCUUAGGGUUGUAAAGCUCUUUCACCGGAGAAGAUAAUGACGGUAUCCGGAGAAGAAGCCCCGGCUAACUUCGUGCCAGCCGCCGCAGUAAUAC